CCUACGGGUGGCAGCAGUGAGGAAUAUUGGUCAAUGGACGAGAGUCUGAACCAGCCAAGCCGCGUGAAGGAAGAAGGAUCUAUGGUUUGUAAACUUCUUUUAUAGGGGAAUAAAGGUAUCCACGUGUGGAUAUUUGCAUGUACCCUAUGAAUAAGCAUCGGCUAACUCCGUGCCAGCAGCCGCGGUAAUACGGAGGAUGCGAGCGUUAUCCGGAUUUAUUGGGUUUAAAGGGUGCGUAGGUUGUUUUUUAAGUCAGCGGUGAAAGUUUGUGGCUCAACCAUAAAAUUGCCGUUGAAACUGGAUGACUUGAGUGUGGUUGAGGUAGGCGGAAUGCGUGGUGUAGCGGUGAAAUGCGUAGAUAUUACGCAGAACUCCGAUUGCGAAGGCAGCUUACUGGGCCAUAACUGACGCUGAGGCGCGAAAGCGUGGGGAGCAAACAGGAUUAGAUACCCUGGUAGUC
rnacentral:rRNA from 1 species